AUUUUGGACAAUGGGGGAAACCCUGAUCCAGCCAUCCCGCGUGUAUGAUGAUGUCCGCNGUGUUGNANAGUACUUUUGGCAGAGANGAAAAGGUAUCGCCUAAUAGGAGAUACUGCUGACGGUAUCUGCAGAAUAAGCUCCGCCUAACUACGUGCUAGCAGCCGCGGUAAUACGUAGGGUGCAAGCGUUAAUCGGAAUUACUGGGCGUAAAGCGUGUGUAGGCGGUUAGGAAAGAAAGAUGUGAAAUCCCAGGGCUCAACCUUGGAACUGCAUUUUUAACUGCCGGGCUAGAGUAUGUCAGAGGGGGGUAGAAUUCCACGUGUAGCAGUGAAAUGCGUAGAUAUGUGGAGGAAUACCGAUGGCGAAGGCAGCCCCCUGGGAUAAUACUGACGCUCAGACACGAAAGCGUGGGGAGCAAACAG
rnacentral:rRNA from 1 species